GGAUCCUGAUGCUGUGUGACGUUAACCGGUGGGCUCCCAGGUUCGCUGCGGAGGUAGUGCAAGGAGGAACAAAACCACAGAGACACACACCCCGCCUCCACACAAGGGGUCUUGUGGUUUCUUGUGUCAUGUGAUGACCACCUGGAGCCGGCCAAAGCAGAGAUGCUCAGAAAGAGCCACCCCAUCCCUCCAGGCCGAAGGUUUCCUGUCUGCCUUCACACAGGACUCUGGCCCUGACCUCCAUACCUCCCACACCCACUCCACUGCUAUCAGAGAAUGUUCCAGAUAAGCUCCAGUCAUUCCAAUAAACCUGAAGACACCAUGAAUUCUGGGAGUAAAAGAACUGGGAAGAUAGAUCAUUUCAUAAGAAAAUUAUCCCCAAACAGCAGCCACCAUCCUUUGGCAACCAAAUUGUCCACACAAGUAAUAAAGACUCCUUCAAGGUCAUCGUGUAGAAACAGACUGAGCCAAACCACAGCUUGACCAAGCCAUAGCCUGGCCAGCACUGUUUAAUAGAUUGCCUCUCACCACUCGCCCCAAAUUCUUCCUCUCUUUAAAUCUACAACCAUGUCAGCAUGGCUUAAAGGAUGAAACACUUAAAUGGCCAUUUUGAUUAAAACCUUUUCAUACAUGUUUA